rnacentral:rRNA from 1 species
UACAUGGGGUGCAAACGUUGCUCGGAAUUAUUGGGCGUAAAGCGCACGUAGGCGGUCAUCUAAGUCGGAUGUGAAAGCCCUCGGCUUAACCGAGGAAGUGCACCCGAAACUGGACGGCUUGAGUGCUGAAGAGGGUCGCGGAAUUCCCGGUGUAGAGGUGAAAUUCGUAGAUAUCGUAAGGAAGACCGGUGGCGAAAGCUAGUCUCUGGACAGUCACUGACACUGAGGCACGAAGGCUAGGGGAGCAAACGGG